UUUUUUUUUUUUUUUUUUUUUGCCAACACCUAAGGUGACUGGGGCCACAGGUGGAGCCCACUCACAGGCCCCCAGUGGUGGCAGGCCACGCCUCCCUCUGGCCUCUGAGAAGACCACCAUGGUCUUUCCCUGACACCUGUAGAUCACACAAGAAGCACCACACUGCACUUAGCCCCCCACUGCUCUUGGCCCACACAAAGGUGCCCGGCCAUCCAUAGCCUGCACAAGAAGGAGAUUCCUAUGGCAGUCCGCCCCUCCUCCUCUUGCCCUCCCCAACAGUGGCUCCUGGGUUCUCUGGCGGACCCAGACCUUCUCCCGGGUUCUCUCUGCUGUGGUGUUCCACUCUCCAGCCCGUAGCACACCCCUCCCCCACACAUGGCACAGUGUUCUUUAGCCCCUUAGGCUGUCCCCACACUGUCAACCCUAGUCAUCCCCCGGGACUUACCUCCAGAGCCUAAGUCUCAGCCCACAGCCCCACCCAAGCCUCUCAGGCUAUGGUGUCUGGGGCGGUGGUGCAGAUGAUUUGUGCAGCUCUCACUCUACUUUGCCCUCCUCAGUCCAGUUGCUGUGCUUUUCUUGGUGACUUUGAGGUUGCUUUGUCACAGCUGAUCUCCUGGUCAGUUAGGUGGCUUGCCAGGGUGUGUGUUGUGUUCCUUUUCUCCUUUGUAGGUCCCUCUCAGGAAUGCUAAACCUGUCCUGAUUCCUUUUCUCUCUCUCUCUCUUUUUCUUUUGUUCUCCCAAUUACGUCAAGAGAUUAUUUCUUUUCUUUUUUCUUUUUUUCUGUCUUUUUUUUUUUUGCCUUUUCCCAGGGCUGCACCCCUGGCAUAUGAACAUUCCCAGGCUAGGGGUCUAUUUGGAGCUGUAGCCACCUGCCUAUGCCAGAGCCACAGCAACACUGGAUCUGAGCCGAAUCUGCGACCUACACCACAGCUUACAGCAAUGCCGGAUCCUUAACCCACUGAGUGAGGCUGGGGAUCAAACCCACAACCUCGUGGUUCCUAGUUGGAUUCAUUAACCACUGAGCCACGACGGGAACUCCAAGAGUUUCUUCCCUUUUUGGAGGUUUCUUUUGCCAGCAUUCAAUUGAUGUUUUGUGUGAAUCAUUUUACAUGCAGUGUGUUUUUUUGAUGUGUUUGUGGGAGAAGUUGAGCAUGACGUCUUACUCCUCCAUCUCGAUGCGCCUCUCCAAAAGUAUUUACUCUCAAUUUGGAGAUGUCUCUUGACUGGCAGUAUGUGCAAAGUUAAUUGAUCAUGAAGAAUUUCAUAAAUAGUCCUUUUCCAAUAGGAAACUCUCAGGAGUUAAUGCAUUACAAUUUACACUCGGAGUAAAACAAACUAGACGAAUGAUCACCUUGACGAAGGAAUGACUAUGUGAUUUUCAUAUGGAACUGAGAUGUCUGACAAUAAAAACCCUUAUUACUUCAUUUUCUAUUAUCAAAUAUAAAAGCAGGUUUGUGCACCUUCCAAGUACUCUUGCGUAUGGCAUACCGUGUUUUUAUAAAGUGUCAUUAUUGCAUGAUAAUCAUACAUGGACAAGUGCAUGUUUAAUUUUUCCUUUGUAUUUAUGAAUACAUUUAAGUUCAAGUUUAUCAGUUUUGUAUAUAGUGUAUAAUGCAUUGGGAGAUGCUAGUUUUCAUGAUUAUAAUUUUUUUUUCAUGAUUAUAAUUCUUUCAGAUUGUGUUACUUUGUUUUGGAUUAUUAAAAAACAUUUUAGAAGGAAAUGAGGAGCCCAAAAUAGGGAUCCUUUCAAAUGGUAACCUGUUGAUUCUCAAAAAAAAUGAUUGAUGAAGGGAAGUGUAAGAAGUAUGUACACUUAUUUCAGAAUGUAGUGAAUAGCAAACCUACGUCUUAAGAAAGGAAAUGCAGCUUUGCUCCCCAGUGCAUGCGGAACAACUUUUCAAAAUUUGGAAUUUUGUAAAAUACUUUAUUUAAUAACCAGUCUUUCUAGAAUUAUAUAUGAGGAUCCAGAAUAGAUAAUAUUGUUUUAUGGCCCCACCUGUGGCAUAUGGAAGUUCCCAGACUAGGGGUCAAAUCAGAGCUGCAGCUGCCACAUCCACUGCAAGGCCAGUUCUGAGACACAUCUGCAACCUCAACUGCUGCAGCUUUUAGUAAGGCUGGCACCUUAACACACUGAGUGAGGCCAGGGAUCCAACUUGCCUCCUCAGAGAGACAGUACCAGGUCCUUAACUUGCUGAGCCUCAACAGGAGCUCCAGAAUUGACAGUGUUUUAAAUGUCACUUUGAUUUUAUGAAGUGCCACUUUUUGUUGUACACGAGUAGUGAUAUUUUAUACUUAUACAAUAUAUAAUCAUGUGUUUUUUCUUUUUAAUAUUGGAAAUUUUAUUUUUGCAGGUAAUUUUUAUUUAUUGCUUUGUUAAGCAAUACAAUAGUGUUCUAUGAAGAGAAAGGCAUAGUAUUAGUUACAGUUUAAUCCUGAGAAUAUUCCAAGUUCUGAAAUAUUGGAAGUUCUCAGAAAAUAUUUCUUAAUAAUUGAAAAGGUGAUAGAUGAAUGUAUAAGAUGAUUUAGGUGAUUUUUCUCCUGCAUGAAACCUUUGUGUUAAUUCCUGCAUCACAUUUUCCCUCUUGGGUCAGAUGAUGGUUAUAGGGUCCCUCCCUUGCUUGCAUGUGUUCAUGCAUGCAUGUGGCACGUGCACACAACACACACGGGAGCACACACAGUAAUGCUGCAGCCAACAAACAUCAUGUGCUUUAUGUUCACUUCUGCUAAUGAUACCAAAUCCCCCCACUUCCUAGUCCUCCAAUCCAUAAUGUUACACAAAGAUGGUUAUUUCUGUUUUUGAUAGCAGUGGUGUCUGCCCAGGGCUCACUAGUCUGGGCAAAGGGUAGUGAGGCCCAGAAAGGGCAGCCCCAGCCCUUGGCUCCAUGCUUCUCUCCCCACCACCAGGCUCACCAAGCCAGCUCUCUUCCUGGACUCCAGUGUGGCAUGGGGAGGGUGGACCACAGCCUCCUCUGCCUGGGUGGCUGGGGCAGAGCAUUGGCAGGAGGGGCAGGGGAGGGACUUGGGCCAGGGAAGUAAGUGGGUCUAUUUUCCUGGGCCCUAGAUGGAUCACUCCUGACCAGGCUGGUGUUUGGGGAGCACACAGCCUCUCUCAACAUUCAGCGCUGAGCAAAGAAUCCCAUCUCUCUUCCUGGACCCCACUGACCUACUCACCCUACUCACCACACUUUCCAGGAUAAAGCUUGUUCCAGCCAUGGCAUCCUUCUAACCAUCACUGUCAAUUGCCUUGAUAAUUCUGUAUAGGUUUUUGCCUUUUUUUUCUCUUUAGGGCUCCAACUGGAGCCACAGUUGCAUCAUUCAGAUUCCUCUACCCACUACACCACAGUGGGAACUCCUGUAUUUUCUAUGGAGUUCAUUUAGAGUCAAAUACAUAGAAACAUUUUUACUUUUGCAGAGGUUAAGUAGGAAGUUGAAUGUUCUCUAAUAAACUUUUCCAGGUCUUUGCUCUCUCUGCAUAUUUUCUUUAAUGAUGGUCCUAGGGAAAGCCUUAAUACAAGAUUUGAAAAGCCAAAGCCAGAUCGUUCUGAUUUCCCUAAAGCUACAUGAUUUCAUGAUUUACAUAAUUACAGCUUUUAUCUCUGUGUGUACAUUUCAGAAUAAAAUUAAAAAAUAUCAGAAGCCCAGCCUAGGAGUUUCCUUGUGGUCCAGCAGGUGAAGGGUCCACCAUUGUCACUGCAUCGGCUUGAGUUGCAGCUGUGGCCCAGGUUCAAUCCCUGGCCCAGGAAUUUUCACAUACCAUGGUUUUGCCCAAAACAUGAAUUUCAAAAGAGAGAACAAAAUUAUAUUAUUGUUAAAUCCUUUUAAAAAAGAAAAUAAAAUCCCAGCCUAGCCAAAAGGAGAGAGUGUCAGGCCGGUUCAUUGUAAUGAAUGCCAAGAGGGAUGAGAAAUUCAGCUAGACAAAGACUGGAAAGGUGGCACCUUUAUUUAUCAGUUGGAAUCAUCAGGGACUCUGGUGUCCAUUCAAAGGAAUGGGGGAAGGAAAAGACAUCCUGGAAGUGGUGGAGACUGUCAAAGAGAAAAGAAACAAAUCUUUCUAGAAGCUUGUCAUGGGAAAUAAGAUUGGUACAAUUCAGCGGGGAGAAACAGCAUGAGACGUUCACAGAGAGAGGAGAUUUUAAGUCGUCAUCUGAAGAAAGAAAAUGCAGAUAAAAUGGUAGGCUCAUUGGGCGGAUGCCUGGUUUUCUUCAGCAGCACAAAGGUGCCUGGGUGAGGUAAGAGGGGAGGAAUGAUAAUCGAUGUCUUGUGAGCUGGAGUUUGGCCAAGUACGGGGAGAGGACAGAAAGACGAGGGAAGAGAGAAUUUUAGCUCUUGGUAUUGUUGGAGGAAAAACUUUUCCUCUACCCUCUUAGUUUCAGUGAUUCGAAGUCUGCAAAUUAGAUACAAGCAGACUGCCUGAGGAAAAACCAUUUUAUUACAUAUAUCUAUAUGCAGAUGCUCACAAAGAAAUGUGGUUUGGAGGGGUGGCUAGAAUUUGGGAUUUGCCAACUAUGUAAUAAGUGGCAAGGAGUAGGAAAAAGGCAUCAAUGGAUUUUUCCUUAAAAUGAGCUUUCCAUUCUUAUACUUCUAUGAAACUAAAAUUGUAAGGUUUGUUCCAUGGUAAUAAUUUUUCAACAUAGAAUCUUAAAUACAUAAAAUGAAGAAAGUGGUUCUGUUAUAAUGUCAUGUGAAAAUUUUAGUGGCAAAAACAACAACAAAAAAAACCCCAAAAAGCUGCUUGAAGAAAGGAAUAAGAGAGGGGCUAGGCCGGUUUUCACCCUGGGAUUCUGAUCAUGACUUUCUAGAAUUAGAAACAAGGAAAACAAUAUGGAAUUCUUGAAUUGUAACUCUGGAACUUUGUUUCCAUUCUAGAAAUGAGGGCCGGCUUUUGGAAACAUCUAAUUAUAUUUAUCCACUUCAUUCUGAAAUGCCUGGGGAUACUUCAAACUAUAUUGCAAGUGCCUCCACCUAGAGUGUUCUUUUUAUUAUAGAUUUUCAUUCAAAAAUAACCUACACAGUAGAAAAAAUAACAUAUUGUGGAAAUACAAAUAAAUCAAUCUAUUAUCUCACUGUUAAAAAAAAUAAACCAUCUACACAGAAGCAUUACAUGAGAUUUUCUGAAGCAGUGGAAGAAGCUGAGCAUUUUAUUAACAAAAGCGUUUCAUACAAUUGAGUUCUAUACUGCCUUCCUUCAUAACCAAUUUACCCUCAUUAGCAGGCAGGCGGCAGACCCGAUGCAGCUGGUGCCUCCUCUGAAGGGAACCUGGCAUGACAUCCCUGCUGACCUUUGUAUUCUAUUGCUUUUGCUUCCAGUUAAGAAUGUUGCCUAUAACCUGCAGUGUACAGGGCAGCCCAUUCUCAAGACCCUGCCAUUCCAGGUAAAGCAUUUUUCUAUUCCUGAAGAGAUUUAAAAAGUUGCAGGACAGAAGACAGCAUGUCUUUUGUUGGAGGUUUACAGGAUCAUCUUGACUUGACCUACUAAAACAAUUCCUGCACCAAGAAGUUUGCAACAACUAACUAUGGUCCUCUCUCCCCUGGCCCCUGAAAACACUUUGCUGAAACUCUUUGGGGAGUUCAGGGUUGGGGUGUAGGGGCCCCCGUUCUCCUUGUAUGAUGCUGCAAUAAAGCUUUCUCUGCUCCAAACCCACAUGUUUUGGUAUUGCUUGCCCUAGCUGUGCCUCAGCACACAAAACUGUUCAGCACCAAGAAGAAUGGUCAGCUCAGUAAGGUAGCUCUGUUUUAGGGGCCUUGGUCUCACUGUGGAGGAGGGUGGUGAGGACAGCAUCACACCCUUUGUGUUACUGAGUCCAAGCUCAUACCUUUUGCCCCCUGACAGGCCAAUGCAUUGAGAGUUGUUGGGGCAAGGAAUGACACUUUUAUUCAGAAAGCUAGCGGACAGAAAAGCCAAAGGAGCCUCUUCCCUCCAGGUGGAAUUCAGGCUUCUUUCAUCCUUAAGUGAGGGGAAGGGGAGGGUAUGGUUGUUGGUUGCAAACUGCUUGCUGCAGGAAUCCUUUGUCCAUUAGGCCAGGCCACACUAUGCCUACACACUUCCAAAAGAAUAAAUGUUACUCCCUCUUUUGCAAAUUUACCUCUACAUGAAUAGAACUUUGAAGGAUUAGCAAUGAGAUCCUGCUGUGUAGCACUGGGACCUAUGUCUAGUCACUUAAUGAUGGAGCAUGGUAAUGUGAGAAAAAAGAAUGUAUGCAUGUAUGUGUAACUGGGUCACCUUGCUGUACAGAAGGAAAAAAAAAUCUGUUGGGGAAAUAACA
rnacentral:lncRNA from 1 species